UACGUAGGGGGCAAGCGUUAUCCGGAAUCAUUGGGCGUAAAGCGCGUGUAGGCGGUUCAGUAAGUCCGCUCUGAAAGCCCAGGGCUCAACCCUGGGAGGCGGGUGGAUACUACUGAACUAGAGUACGGAAGAGGAGAUUGGAAUUCCUGGUGUAGCGGUGAAAUGCGCAGAUAUCAGGAGGAACACCGGUGGCGAAGGCGGGUCUCUGGGCCGAUAUUGACGCUGAGGAGCGAAAGCGUGGGGAGCGAACAGG
rnacentral:rRNA from 1 species